rnacentral:rRNA from 1 species
GACGAACGCUGGCGGCGUGCUUAACACAUGCAAGUCGAACGGAAAGGCCUGCUUUCCCUUGUGGAUUGCGGGUACUCGAGUGGCGAACGGGUGAGUAACACGUGAGUGAUCUGCCCCCAACUUGGGUAUAAGCCUGGGAAACUGGGUCUAAUUCCCGAUAGGACUGCAGGGUGGUGCCUGUGGUGGAAAACGAUUUUCUAGUGGUUGGGGAUGAGCUCGCGGCCUAUCAGCUUGUUGGUGGGGUAAUGGCCUACCAAGGCGGCGACGGGUAGCCGGCCUGGGAGGGUGGACGGCCACAUUGGGACUGAGAUACGGCCCAGACUCCUACGGGAGGCAGCAGUGGGGAAUAUGACACAAUGGGCGGAAGCCUGAUGCAGCGACGCCGCGUGGGGGAUGACGGCCUUCGGGUUGUAAACUCCUUGCGACCGCGAGGAAGCCACCUGGUUGGAAGGGUGGUGACGGUAGUGGUAGAAGAAGCACCGGCUAACUACGUG